AAAAAAAAAAAUUAAUUGGAAAUAACACUGCAAUCUAUAAGUUCUUUAUCUGACAGAAGGCUGUAACACUAUGUCACUACAAAAUUACGAUAUGGCUACUAUAACGAUACUGCAGCUUACACUACUUGAGUCUGUCAUGGAAUAUGGUAGAUAGUGUCAGUAGUUUGAAAAUCACACAACCGAUUGGGAAAGUUUGACACUAGGUCCAUUUUGGAAUAGGAAACAUGGAAUGUAGAAAACUAGAAAGCUAAUAAAGGAAAAAUAAAUAAAUUUAAAAAAUAAGUUUAAUGAAGUACCCACAUAAUAAAGCUCUACCAAGAUGGAAAGUUUAUGUACAUGUGACAAGUCUAGAGAAGAUGUACUUACCACACAGAUGACAGUAAUAAACUGUACAUUUAUGACAAUUUUCAACAGUUAAGUGUGGUUUUAAAAUAGCAUCAUACAUAGUGUCAAACAUAUGGUUUUACAGAAUUCAGUUUUAUUACUGUAUUGAGGUUCUUAAGAAAUAUACUUUUGAUUAAUGUCCUUAAUUAGACAAAUACUAUCUCUUCAGGUUUCUAAGAAUCUACAUGCUAAAGAGCUGAGGGUCAAUACUCUAUGGCUGAAGAAUAACAAAAAGCAUCUUGCUAUGAUCCUGCAGCUCCUCUGGAAGCUUGCACUCGGGACUCUACAUGUCAUGCCUGAGGUAAAUCCAGUAGUGUGUCCUUCAGGCACAAGUCACAGGAAAGACUCCAGCCAGAUCAACAUGACUCUUCAUCAAUUAUGUGCCUCCCCUUGCUCCUGGUAAUGCAAUGAAAAGCUGAAAUGUCCUCCAGCAAUGUGAACAUGGAGCUGCAGUAGAUGCACACAUGAUGCUGAGACCACCCAGCAUCAGAUCACCCCUACACUGGAGAUUCUGGGAUAAAAGCACUCUGUAAGA